rnacentral:RNase_P_RNA from 1 species
UCAGAUGGCCGGGCGGCCGCCGCCGCGCAAGCGGGGGAGGAAAGUCCGGGCUCCACGGAAACACGGUGCCGGGUAACGCCCGGCGGGGGCGACCCCAGGGACAGUGCCACAGAGAGCAGACCGCCGGAACGCCGCGCCCUCGGGGGCGGCCGGCCGGCAAGGGUGAAAGGGUGCGGUAAGAGCGCACCGCGAGGCUGGCAACAGCAUCGGCAUGGUAAACCCCACCGGGAGCAAAACCAAAUAGGGGCGGCGCGCCGGCUUGCCGGCAGGAUCGUUUCCGAUCCGUCGCCCGGGUCGGUUGCUUGAGGCGGUCGGCAACGAUCGCCCUAGAGGAAUGGCCGCCGGCCGUGGUCCGCCACGGUCACAGAACCCGGCUUACAGGCCAUCUGACCUC